GAUUUUAUUUUUUAUGUUUUUAGAUAUUUAUGUUUUUGAAUGUUUUAUUCAAAUAAUAUAAAAAAUAAAAUAUAUAUUGACAUGGAUUAAACAAAGAUAUAUAUUAUUCUAUGUUGUAUAAACAAAUUGGCAAAAUAGAGAUGGAAGAUAAAAAUAUGGUCAAAGUAAUAAGAGUCUAUGGUGAAUGCCUAGGAGCUUUAAGGCGAAGAAGGUCGUGGUAAGCUGCGAAAAGCUUGGGGGAGAAGCAAACAUUUAUUGAUCCCAAGAUUACCGAAUGGAGUAAUCCAGCUAGCAAGAUGCUAGCUAUCUAUUAUUUAAAUGAUAGAGGCGAUACCAGG
rnacentral:misc_RNA from 1 species